rnacentral:rRNA from 1 species
GACGAACGCUGGCGGCGUGCCUAAUACAUGCAAGUAGGACGCAGUUGCGAACGUGUGAGUAACGAGUAGGUAACUGCCUAUUAGAGGGGGAUAACUAUUGGAAACGAUAGCUAAUACCGCAUACUAGUAGAUGGACCUGCGUUGUAUUAGCUAGUAGGUGGGGUAAUGGCCUACCUAGGCGACGAUACAUAGCCGAGCUGGAAAGGUGGACCGCCACCAUGGGAGUGGGACAAGGCCCAGACGUCUACGGGAAGCAGCAAUAGGGAAGCAUCGGCAAUGGGGGGAAAGCUGACCGAACAAAGGCGCGUGAGAUGAGAAGGUCUUCGGGGUGUAAAGGUCUGUUGUGAAGGGAGCGGUACGUGAAGAAAAAGGAACGGCUAACUACGUGCCAGCAGCCGCGGUAAUUC